rnacentral:lncRNA from 1 species
GUUUUCUUAUUGCUGUUGCCAUGUAUUCUCUGGUGAUAUAAAAAUGUGGAACUUUAGAAAAGAACCACUGGCUGUCCAUUUUUAAACUGAGCCACUCCUAAAAAUAUUUUAACAAAUAUUCCUUCCUUCCUUCUGGAUUCAGCUCAAAUGAUAUCUCUUAUAGGAAACAUUUUUAAGUCAGAAUCAAUCAUUCACCUCUAGCUACUCAGCAGAAGUGUAAUAGGAGCUAUAUGUUGAACAUUAUUAACCUGGCUUACUCUUUUGCCCUUCUGAGCUGUAUUCCAUUGAAGAGAGCCUUCUGCUUCGAUGUAGAUCAAGAUUUCUUCCAAAAGGAAUGAAAAGCAAAAGACUGAGAAUUCUGGAGGCUGGGAGUCCAAGAUCAAGGUGUCAGCAGAGUUGAUUUCUGGAUCAGAGCGCCCUAGGUUGUAAUCAAGGGCUGCAGACGUGGGAGUGGAGUGAGUGUGUCACGGAGCCGUCAUCCUGGGCAGUUGUUCUCCAGGGAUUGUUCCUGUCUGCUUGGGGGCGAUAUUUUGGCCCUCGUGAUGGGGAAAAUGUUGUGACCAUGUGAGCAUGGCAAAGGGAGCUAUGGCCACACUCAAGGAGAUACUGGGGAGGAAGCUCUUCUUGCAGUAGACACUGUGCUCCUUUUUGAUCAACGUUAAGAAGACUUCAAUCAAAAAGCAUAUGAACAUUAUUCUAGAGUGAGAGUCACUUUGGGGUUAAGCGGAGAACUCUGUAGUAAUGAUCAGUUACUUUCCCCAUUAUAUGUCUUUACACAUGUAGACUCUAACCCUAUUACCAUAUCCGCUGGUAGCAUUGAUGCAGGAAAGAAAUGAUGCGAAAGAUUACCUGAUCAAGAAAGAGUAAUGAGGGGCCGGCCCGGUGGUGCAGUGGUAAAGUUCCCACGUUCUGCUUUGGCGGCCUGGGGUUCACCUGUUUGGAUCCCCAGUGUGGAUCCCCGGCAUGGAAGCGGACAUGGCACCACUCAUCGGGCAACGCUGUGGUAGGUGUCCCACGUAUAAAGUAGAGGAAGAUGGGCACGGAUGUUAGAUCAGACCAGUUUUCCUCAGCAAAAAGAGGAGAAUUGGCAGCAGAUGUUAGCUCAGGGCUAAUCUUCCUCAAAAUAAAUAAAUAAAUAAAUAAAAGAGUAACGAAACCAGAGUAAAUAAAUACUCAUAAUCACAUCUGAAAAUAGUACUGUUUCUUCAAACACUGAGACCCGUAUGAAAGUCACAACCAUUUUUCUUAGAAGAUACCUUAUAAAACACAUAACUAUAUAAACUUUAAAUGUCUAAUAUUACAAUAAACUACUAUAUUUAGA